CAGCCGCCGCGGUAAUACGAAGGUCCCGAGCGUUGUUCGGAAUCACUGGGCGUAAAGGGAGCGUAGGCGGCGUGGUAAGUCAGAUGUGAAAUCCCGGGGCUCAACCCCGGAACUGCAUCCGAUACUGCCGUGCUAGAGGAUUGGAGAGGUAGCUGGAAUUCUUGGUGUAGCAGUGAAAUGCGUGGAGAUCAAGAGGAACACUCGUGGCGAAAGCGAGCUACUGGACAAUAUCUGACGCUGAGGCUCGAAGGCCAGGGUGGCGAAAGGGAUUAGAUACCCCUGUAGUCCCUGUCUCUUAUAU
rnacentral:rRNA from 1 species